AUCUCUUCUCAGCCUUUUGGCUAAGAUCAUGUACAGUAUCUGUUCUUACCAGUUUAAUAUUAUACCAACUUAUAUUCAAAAAACAUACCAACAAAAGUUCUGAGAAAAGCCACACCAA
rnacentral:snRNA from 1 species